UUCCACAGCUACUGGUCUGCAACUGUCUUCAUGGUAGCAGUUGCGGCAUUCCUCUGUGGGAAAGAAACUGUUACGUGAUUAAACACCUCUUUCUUAGCAAAACAGAAAGUGGGCAUAUGUGUGACAGACAAGA
ensembl:snoRNA SNORA41 small nucleolar RNA SNORA41